rnacentral:tRNA from 1 species
GCCCCGGUGGUGGAAUUGGUAGACACGCAGGACUUAAAAUCCUGUUCGCCGCAACGCGAGUAACGGUUCAAUUCCGUUCCGGGGCA